GAUGAACGCUAGCUACAGGCUUGACACAUGCAAGUCGAGGGGUAACGAGAGGAAAGCUUGCUUUCCUUGUCGACGACCGGCGCACGGGUGAGUAACGCGUAUCCAACCUGCCCCCAACUAGGGAAUAACCUUGCGAAAGUAAGACUAAUACCCUAUAAUUUCCUCAGAUGACAUCUGACGAGGAAUAAAGAUUUAUCGGUUGUGGAUGGGGAUGCGUCUGGUUAGCUUGUUGGCGGGGUAACGGCCCACCAAGGCAACGAUCAGUAGGGGUUCUGAGAGGAAGGUCCCCCACAUUGGAACUGAGACACGGUCCAAACUCCUACGGGAGGCAGCAGUGAGGAAUAUUGGUCAAUGGGCGGAAGCCUGAACCAGCCAAGUAGCGUGCAGGAUGACGGCCCUAUGGGUUGUAAACUGCUUUUAUACAGGAAUAAAGUUAGCCACGUGUGGUUAUUUGUAGGUACUGUAUGAAUAAGGACCGGCUAAUUCCGUGCCAGCCGCCGCAGUAA
rnacentral:rRNA from 1 species